ensembl:miRNA
GUGGGCCAGGGCCGCGGGUGGGAGCAAGCCAUCUAGCAUUCCUGGGAAACGCUUACAUCUCACCAUGACCCUGAUCCCACUAG